ACUCGGCUCUGACUGGCAGGCAGAAAGUGCAACUGACGAGGGAAAGGUCUCUGCAGUGAGUGGAGAGCCUACAUAAAAGAGAGUAAAGAGGGGCAAAAACCCAGAUCAGAAUGCAGGCGACGUCCAACCUUCUCAACCUCCUGCUGCUGUCUUUGUUUGCCGGAUUAGAUCCUUCCAAGGAUGGAAGUAAAAAGGCAGGACCUCGAGCAGUCACCUUGGAUCCCAAAAUGAAAGUGUUAUACUCAGAUUAGUCCUAAAGAAGGGUGGCAGGUGUACAGCUCAGCUCAGGAUCCUGAUGGGCGGUGCAUUUGCACAGUUGUUGCUCCAGAACAAAACCUGUGUUCCCGGGAUGCCAAAAGCAGGCAACUUCGCCAACUACUGGAAAAGGUUCAGAACAUGUCCCAGUCUAUUGAAGUCUUAAACUUGAGAACUCAGAGAGAUUUCCAAUAUGUUUUAAAAAUGGAAACCCAAAUGAAAGGGCUGAAGGCAAAAUUUCGGCAGAUUGAAGAUGAUCGAAAGACACUUAUGACCAAGCAUUUUCAGGAGUUGAAAGAGAAAAUGGACGAGCUCCUGCCUUUGAUCCCCGUGCUGGAACAGUACAAAACAGAUGCUAAGUUAAUCACCCAGUUCAAGGAGGAAAUAAGGAAUCUGUCUGCUGUCCUCACUGGUAUUCAGGAGGAAAUUGGUGCCUAUGACUACGAGGAACUACACCAAAGAGUGCUGAGCUUGGAAACAAGACUUCGUGACUGCAUGAAAAAGCUAAUUGAUUUAAAAAAGAGAAAAGAAGAAGAAAAAAGGCAACAGAAAGGAGAAGCAUAAGCAAUAGUAUUUUGGGAAGCUAUAACACGCGACUUGCCUCCCUGUUCACCUUUGUAUUCUCAGCACCUAGAAUAGUUCUGGUACAAAAUAAGUUCACAGUAAAUGGUUGUCAAAUGAAUAAAUUAAUUAUUAUAUCUUUAAAUAGUAACUAUUGUUUUUACCCUCUAACAUAUUUCAGAGAAAUGCUUAGUGCUACAAGAAAGUAAAGUUUGCUUUCUAAGGUAUGAUUGACUGGAGUAAGAAUCAAUUUUCCUCACAAAACCAGGUACAAAAUAAAAGAGUCAACUAGCCAAAAGACCACUUUACCAUGGUCACCCAAUGUUUAGUUUAAGAGCCAGAAGCUUUUAACCUCCGGUACAAAUUCUGUCCUAAGUUUUGGCCGAAACAACCUAAGACUCAGCAGUAUCCCUUUGCCAUAGAGAUGCAAGGCUGGAUUAGAUUCAAGCACCAUCGAAGCCAAAGACACCCCAAGCCAGUGAUGUGCUGUGGGUUGUUUGGAAAUGUCGAUUAGAUAAGGCUCAUGGUAUGAUUCAGAGCUCCAAGGACAGUUCUUGUUCAGGUUUCAACUAAUCAACAUCGGAUUAUGCACACCUCAACAUCUGAAAUAUGCAGACAUUUGAGACAAAUACCAGAAUUGUGUCUUCUUGCUUUGUACAAAUCAUGCUUCAGUCUGGCAAUAAGCAUGUGGCAAACUGAUGAAAAUCACAGGCCCAGUUACAGUCAAGACAUCUGGAACCCGAUUUGGUGCUUGGAUGACAGACCCUUUAGCAUCUGAGAAAAACAACAGAGUCUGGUACAUGGACAGUUAUACUAACAAUAAAAUUGUUCGUGAAUACAAAUCAAUUGCAGACUUUGUCAGUGGGGCUGAAUCAAGGACAUACAACCUUCCUUUCAAGUGGGCAGGAACUAACCAUGUUGUCUACAAUGGCUCACUCUAUUUUAACAAGUAUCAGAGUAAUAUCAUCAUCAAAUACAGCUUUGAUAUGGGGAGAGUGCUUGCCCAACGAAGCCUGGAGUAUGCUGGUUUUCAUAAUGUUUACCCCUACACAUGGGGUGGAUUCUCUGACAUCGACCUAAUGGCUGAUGAAAUCGGGCUGUGGGCUGUGUAUGCAACUAACCAGAAUGCAGGCAAUAUUGUCAUCAGCCAACUUAACCAAGAUACCUUGGAGGUGAUGAAGAGCUGGAGCACUGGCUACCCCAAGAGAAGUGCAGGGGAAUCUUUCAUGAUCUGUGGGACACUGUAUGUCACCAACUCCCACUUAACUGGAGCCAAGGUGUAUUAUUCCUAUUCCACCAAAACCUCCACAUAUGAGUACACAGACAUUCCCUUCCAUAACCAAUACUUUCACAUAUCCAUGCUUGACUACAAUGCAAGAGAUCGAGCUCUCUAUGCCUGGAACAAUGGCCACCAGGUGCUGUUCAAUGUCACCCUUUUCCAUAUCAUCAAGACAGAGGAUGACACAUAGGCAAAUGUGACAUGUUUUCAUUGAUUUAAACAGUGUGAUUUGUGAUAAACUCUAUAAGACCCCUUCCGUUUUUUUCUUCACUAUUAUUUUUCAUCAUUUCUCCAAAGCAAAGCAUUUUUAUUGUAAAGUUGGUGUUUCAAAAACAUAGCUGAGCUUGUCUAACUUACCAUGUUGGAAACACAUCUUAACUUCUAAAUUUACAAGGCCUAUCAUGUCCUUGUCAUGAAAAGCACUAAAAAAAAAAAGAGUUUAAGUGGCUAAAGUCAUAGUUUUGCAAGAGAUUAAUGAUCUGCCUUAUAUUAGAGUCAGAGACUAAUGGUGGCUUAAAUGCACGAAUGUCUUUUUUUUUAAAACUGUCAUUUUUUACUGUCUUUUGCUCCAUAUCAGGAAAUAUUUUGGUAGGAAUUAGGAGAACAAAAAGCACUUUUAUCCCAUUUAUUUCUUUAAAAAAUGUAAGGAUUUCAUUUAUAUUGAAAAAUAAUAUUAAUCAUUUUGCUGUUAACACAAUUCUCUGAUGCGGUGCUGUACAGUCAUUUUUAAAUCUCUUGCUAACAUUUUAUUGGCAGUAUGUAUUUCUACCAUUGUAACCACCAUUGUGCUAUUGUAUCUCUUCACUUCUGUGAAAGUAAUAUUUUUUAUAAAAUACACUGAAAUUUAACCUCAGUAAUUGAGUCCAUUUUCAAGUGUGGUCAAGAAUAAUCUUCUUGGCUUACCCCUUUACAUAAGCAUUAUAAACUAAAAUGAAAACCAAACCAGACACCUGACAUAGAGUCUUUAUUUUACCCCAAGUUUUUUGGGCCACUGACAUUGAAUGCAACAACUGAUUUCAUACAACUGAGUUACUCUGUUCACUCCACUGAAUGCAACCCAUAUAGUUUCUUGCACAAGGUGCAUCUGGAUUCCAAAUAUUGGAUUUGAGUUGACUCUACUCAUUUAUUAUACACUAAAGAAAUUUUGUUCUUCAUAGUUAAAUGUACUAGCAUUUAAUUUAUAUUUUACAUACAACUUGCAAUAAUGAAAUUCCUUAUGUCAGGACCCUGAAAAUAAGCACAUUUGAAAACUCUUAGAAAAAAAAAAUUCUGUAAUGUCCUCUAGAUUUAGAUUAUGAGCCCUGAGGAGUUAUUGGCAAGAUUUGUGCAAAAUAAAAUAUGGGGAGACUUGGGAGUUGUCUUUGUGGUUUCAAAAGUGUAAAUAACCAAUUCAGAAAACAAAAUGGAAAAACGACCCCUUGUUACCUUGAUUCACUGUAUGUGGAAAAAUAAUGUAACCAAAAGGGAAGAGCUUUAAUAAUACUUAUGUUAAUAACUCUAUGAAACAUAUAAGCUAACUAUAUAUCAAACAUUUCAUUGAGUUUGGAUGUAUUUUCCACAUAUUAAAAAAAUAGUUCCCUAAGGCAGCUUUAUGGAAACUAAUAUAGGUUGGUUUUACAAUUUAAAAAGUAUAUUCUAUAAUAAAUAAUAAAACAAAUUGUUUUAAAUGUUUAGUUUCACACAUACAUAGUACCAUGAUUUUCUUUGAAAGAUAAGGAUGUAAUGAUUUAGAUAAAGCAUCAUGUAAAGAAAUCCUAACAUUUAAGUGUAAUUCAUUUCAAAUGUCACAAGUAAAGCAUCAUCCUCAAAUAUCUCACUGUCAAAAUUGUAGAAUUAAAUAACCCAAUCUUGAAACUGUCAAGGUUUAA